UAUUUUCCUUGACCUACAUCAAUUCUCCUCUCAAAAUUCAUCCCUAGAUCUGGUAAAACAACUAGCGGCCCUCUCCUUCUCUUGGCUCUCCUCCCAGCGUUUCAACCCGAACCGAAUGAAGAUGAACAAAAAUCACAACCUUGCCAUCUGAUUAGCGAUAGUCUUCUUCCAUCCUAGACCUUAAUCGGAGGUCUGAAAGCUAAUUAAGGUCUGUUGUGAUUGAGGGUGCAUACAUUAAGAAUGGUAGUAAAGAUAAUUAUGCUCAUGGUGGUGGUAGUGAUGGUGGUUGUGGUCUUUGUGUGGUGGAAAGAUAAAGCAAGUUGCAUAAGGGAAACACAUUGAUAGUGACAUUGUUAUCGAUCUUGAUCUUAGUGGAAAGAUAAAGCUACGGAUGCAAGGCGUAAAGUACAGGAUAAAGGAUACAGUUUUGAUAUCUUAUGUGAAUUUCUACCUGAUGGGAUGCCCCUUGAGAAAUGGAAACGAAUGUGGCUGACAAACAAGCGGGUAAAACAGUUGGAUACAAGAAAGUAUUCUUACAGACUCACGCCACUAAGAAGUGCAAAAAGUGUUACAAGAUCAGGAGAUGAGCGAAAAUGAUUUUGAUUCAUUAGAGUUUGUUACCAACCAUUCAAAAUGUUCAUAUGCCGCGUACACGUUACAAGUAAAAAAGUUGUAUGGGGACAAGGAUUGCGAUGAUUUAGCCGUGUAGUAGAGUCUGCUUCUUGAGUGUAAGGGUCGUAAGAUGUUCGACAUAGGAUCUUCUGAUCCUGUUUUUGUGGUGAUUAGAAAACCAUUUUCCAGAGCUUGCGGGUCAUACGAUGAUGCCCCGACAGUCGCAUGAGCUUCAAAAAGUUCAAGCGGAAUUAGAAAGAGAACGAGAGGCCCGACGAAACAUAGAAUCCCGUUUCGAACAAUUUCAACAAGUGCGCGAAAAAGAGCGGGCUGACCAAGCGGCAUGGCAAAAAACUAUGGAAGACAAGCUGAAAAACAUCGGAAAUAAGUAAAAACUCUCGUCUUGUUAAGUAUUGGAAUGUUAAAGGUUGGAUUAGUGCUUUUAAUUAGGAUUUUUUACGCGUUUUGGAAUGUUUUAAAAUUUUUGGAAUGUAUGGGAAUGUUGCUUUAAUAUUUUUGGAAUGUUUUAGAAUUUUGCUGCAAUUAUUUUUGAAA